ensembl:lncRNA
UGCAAAGUAGAAAUACUGGGGUGCAAAGGAGCAAAAUAAAUAAAUAAAUAAAUACAGUAGAGGAUGAGGUAUUUGUUUGGGCUAUUUACAGAUGGGCUAUGUACAGGUGCAGUGAUCUGUGAGCUGCUCUGACAGCUGGUGCUUGAAGUUAGUGAGGGAGAUGAGUCUCCAGUUUCAGUAAUUUUUGUAGUUUGUUCCAGUCAUUGGCAGCAGAGAACUGGAAGGAGAGGGGUACAAAGGAGGAAUUGGCUUUUGGGGGUGACCAGUGAGAUAUACCUUCUGGAGUGCGUGCUACGGGUGUCCAGUGUAACGGUCGUACUCACACAGGCUGAACAAUCAGUCCAGGGCACCCUUGCAGGAUCCCUCAAACUCACAUGUGCCUGUAGUGGAUUCACUCUAAGCAGCAAUUAUAUGUACUGGAUCUGCCAGGUACCUGGACUGAUUAUUCAGAGAGUAGCAAGUGCAAUGCCUCUGGAGUACAGGGCUGAUUCACAGCAUGGAAGGACAGCACUAAUGUAUGCACAUGAGCCAGUUGAUGUCAGAGGACUCUGCAGUGUAUUACUGUGCUAGAGAUUCACUAUGGUUAAACUAAUGGGAAUAGCUGUACACAAACCAUCUGGUAGAGAAAGGAAGGACGUGCACAAACACACAGACACACGUAUGGUAUGACCAGUAGACCAUGACAAAGGGAUAUACAUGAGGAACAAUUCUGUGGAG